GACGAACGCUGGCGGCGUGCUUAACACAUGCAAGUCGAACGGAAAGGCCCUGCUUUUGUGGGGUGCUCGAGUGGCGAACGGGUGAGUAACACGUGAGUAACCUGCCCUUGACUUUGGGAUAACUUCAGGAAACUGGGGCUAAUACCGGAUAGGAGCUCCUGCUGCAUGGUGGGGGUUGGAAAGUUUCGGCGGUUGGGGAUGGACUCGCGGCUUAUCAGCUUGUUGGUGGGGUAGUGGCUUACCAAGGCUUUGACGGGUAGCCGGCCUGAGAGGGUGACCGGCCACAUUGGGACUGAGAUACGGCCCAGACGCCUACGGGAGGCAGCAGUGGGGAAUAUUGCACAAUGGGAGGAAGCAUGAUGCAGCAACGCCGCGUGCGGGAUGACGGCCUUCGGGUUGUAAACCGCUUUCGCCUGUGACGAAGCGUGAGUGGCGGUAAUGGGUAAAGAAGCACCGGCUAACUACGUG
rnacentral:rRNA from 1 species